GCCAGCAGUGGCAACCCACUCAGGUCCCCUUCCACACUGUGGAAGCUUUGUUCUUUUGCUCUUUGCAAUAAAUCUUGCUACUGCUGGCUCUUUGGGUCCACACUGCUUUUAUGAGCUGUGACACUCACCGCAAAGGUCUGCAGCUUCACUCCUGAAGCCAGCGAGACCACGAGCCCACUGGGAGGAAGGAACAACUCCAGACGCACUGCCUUAAGAGCUGUAACACUCACUGCGAAGGUCUGCAGCUUCACUCCUGAGCCAGCGAGACCACGAACCCACCAGAAGGAAGAAACUCCAAACACAGCUGAACAUCAGAAGGGACAAACUCCAGACGCGCCCCCUUAAGAGCUGUAGCACUCACCACGAGGGUCCGCGGCUUCAUUCUUGAAGUCAGUGAGACCAAGAACCCACCAAUUCCAGACACAACUGCACCCAGCCAUGAAAAGUUAUUUUUAAAAGUCUUCAUAUUUACAAGUGCUGAGUUUGUCUGCUUCUCCUUAUCGGGCCUCAAGAAAACGCAGCCAGACCCAGUUUGGUUCCGGAAACAAUAUGAGUUCAUCCCUUUUUCCUUGUUCACUCAGCUCCCAUAUAUCUCUUAGGCAGAGAUUUUUAGGAGUUCACAAUGCACACAUUUCCUUCCCUCAAAAGGGGAAAAUAUAUAUAAAUGUAAAACGAAAAGAGCAAAUGGAACAACUACAAAAAGAAAAUGAAACUUAAGAUUAAAAAAUGCAGAUCCAAAAAUUUUUUUCUAAACUGGGAGAUUAAGAAACAAAAUAAAAUUCUCAAACAUUAAUAUAUGCCAGGUUUUUUUGAGACUACAGCUGGCUAUGUAUCAUGGCUGGUUCUUCUGUACAUUUUAAAUUGAUGGACAGAUUACACUAAAACAAUUCAGGGCCGGGCGAGGUGGCUGAAGCCUGUAAUCACAGGACUUUGGGAGGACGAGGCGGGCGGAUCACUUGAGGUCAGGAGUUUGAAACCAGCCUGGCCAACUUGGCGAAACUCCAUCUCUAAUAAAAAUACACAAAUUAGCUGGGUGUGGUGGUACACACCUGUAGUCCCAGCUACUUGAGAAGCUGAGGCAGGAGUAUCACUUGAUCCCAGGAGGCGGACGUUGCAGUAAGCCGAGAUCGUGCCACUGCACUCCAGCCUGGGUGACAGAGCAAGACUCCUUCUGAAAAAAAGAAAAAGAAAAGGAAUUCAGAGCUCAGAUGGUCAACUUAUAACUUUAGAGUUAGCACACAGAGCCUUCUAAGUUCUCUGUUUUUUUUUCUGCCCACUUUAAAUCUGCUAACUUUUCUACUGGUAUUGAGAUAAAGCUCACUGUUUAUGGUAUUGCUAAUGCAAAAUUACUUAGAGAUUUUGUGUGUGUGUGUGUUUUUGACAAUUCAGACAGUUCUAACUAAAAUAUAAACAUUAAAAUGUUAACCCUAAGAUCAUUUAGAACUAAAGAAAAAAGGGGCAGAAGAUGUUUUUAAAAUCAAACUGCCAUAAGAAUUGCUUUACCCAAAAUUUUGAUCCACAGCCUUCAUUAAGUUAUCUGUUGAGACAAAGUUUAAGCCAUGUAAACAAGUUCCAAUUUUGUCAUCUGUAAUAUGGAUCCAACUGUCUUUUAUAAACUAGUAAGUUUAUGCUACUCUCUCAUGACUAAAAUUCUAAAAUAAAUACUAUAAAGUCUUUAUGUGUGUGUAUAUGUUUGUUUAGAUGUGUUUAAAUAUAUGUACAUAUAUUGUUAUAUGUUGUAUCUAUAUGCUACAAAACUGACUUAUAAAUAGAUGAGUGCUCAUAAAUUACUAAACCCAAGUAUGUUCCAAGUUUAUAUGACUUAAAGAAGUCUUUAAUAAAUAAGUUGAUGUUCAAAUUAUUGAUAAGAUAAACAUUUAAAUGUCUUUAAAAUUGUCAACGUACAUUUUUGUCUGAGUUUACUGGUCAGAAAGUUUUGUAUUUCUCUCCACUAGAUAUUUUAAGGUGCCUGGGUUUGACACAAAGGUUAUAAGACUAUAAAUCUGGUCAAAACCAAAUGAUCUUUGUUUGUGCAAUUUUAAUAAAUAAGACAUUUAAUAUUGUUAGCUUAAUAAAAACAGCUAAAUCUUCUGAGUUGUUGACAAAAUACCCAUAUUUUAAUUUAAGUUUCUCACUCGGGUGAACACCUGAUAAUCACAGGCUAUAAAAAUGUUUAACAUAACCAUACAU
rnacentral:lncRNA from 10 species